CCAAUUUCUUGAGCCAUGGGGCCCUUAUAUAUGUUGGGUUUUGAGCAUUCUAACACUCCUAAGUGUACAUGCAACCCUAAAUACCUUGGAUCUAUGUUUUCUCUAUUAAACAUGCAAAUAAGAACUUCCAAGGUAUUAUCCUAAUCUAGCAUACAAAUCAAUGAAUGUAACAAGAUAGAAUACAUACCUUUUGAUGUAGCUUGAUGUCUUGAAGCUUUAAGAGCUUAGCCCCAAUAGUGUGGAAGCCUCAAGUGGAAUCACAAUCACCAAAACACUUAGAAUAGCUUGAGAGAAUUCUACAACUCAUGAAAUCGGCUAGCCCUUUCACUUCACACUCUAGUGGCCGAUUUUGGUCAAGAAUAAGAUGCUUAUAUAGUUAGGGUUACACCAUGUAAACCCUAAUUGACAUGGCCUUUCAUUUCCAUGAUCCAUGGGUACAAAUACACCAUGGAGCAUCCAUGGACCAUCCUAUGGGUUUUAGCCCAACUUGAUUAUCCAUGGAGCAUUAGCCCACUAUACAAGUAUGGAUGAUUUACACAAUCAACCCAUAUAUUUAAUUAGUCUUCUUUUGAUCACUUAAUUAAUCCUAGAUUAAUUCUUGAUCAAUACUAAUUAAAUAAUCUUAUUAUUCUUAUUAUUAAUAUACUAGAACUUAUAAUAUAUUAAUAACCAUAAGUGUCUUAUUUCUCUCAUUAUAGUCUAUCCAAGUGCAUGAUGGUAUGCAACCCAAAUGGACCAUGCCGGGUCGGGUCAAGUCUUACCAAUUAUAGUUAUGGACUUAGACAUUAAUCCAACAGUCUCCCACUUGGAUAAGUCUAAAACUAUUAUUGCGUAUGACUUCAGGAACCAACUGGCAAUCGUAGCUCUCAAAAGCUUCUGUCGAACUCUGACCUUGUAGAUGAACUCUGACCUUUGUCAAUGACUUGUCCAUUAGAUAAGGGAUCAUAUAUUCCUCCAUUCUAGAUAUCAUAUGGACUGAGACAUGGAUUAUAAUCAUUCUCUCUGUCCAUUUGUUGUUUCCCGAUUUCCGAUUUAUGACGACUGACUAAUUGAACAAAUCAAAUCAGUCCUGGCCCGGCCGAGCACUUCCAUUUGUCAUCAUCAAAUCAUCGAGGGGCCCACAGAUAUCGCUUUUAUCCCGAAGGUAAAAGGAAUGGAUAAACUUCGACUCAUAUGGCUUGUUCUACUACUUGUUGAAUCAUACACAAAGGCACGUUUUAUAGCACCGAGUUACCAAAUGCGUUUUCGUGCAAUCAAUGUACUAUCAACUCAUAGUAACAACUCAUAUCUCUAGGUUUGAAGAAUAUAAGAUAUUAUCGUCUCAUGAUCACUCGUGAUAAAAUCCAUGAAGUGAUUCCAAUGAGCGCGGGUUGAAUCCAAUACUCAGAACUUAUGAGCACUCAUGAGUGUUGUAGCCCUUUGUCCAACACCUUAGACCUCUACAAGCCAACCCAUGACAGUCUUAAUUCAUAUCUACUUCCAACAUAUGACCGACUGUGGAUGGUUUGAAUAACUUAGUCAUUCCGGAAGAAUAACCCAGUUUAUUCGGGAAGUCAAAACAUGCAAAAUGAAACACAAUAAUAAUUGAAUCCAAUAUGGUAUCAACCCUUUGAACAUAAAUAAAACACCUUUUAUUUAUCACCAUAUGAUUACACAUUAUUCAUUGUAUACUGUUUCAGCUAUCAACUUUAUUCUUGAAUUUAAAACAAUAGUUGUCCCAUGCUCCAAGCAUGUACACUAUGUUUUCUUAAACACUAGUCAUGCCACACACCAAGUAUGCAUACUAUGUUUGUCUAUGAUCUUUACUUUGUGAACUAGAUCAAUUGAACAUAACUUCAAUGAUUCUCUUUUCACACUCCCAAAUCCUUACUGCAAAUGCAAGAAUUCCAAAUUCAUGCCAUUUACUGAAAUCUGUUAGAUUCUAAACUUAUAUGCAUUGAUCCUCUUGUAAUGAUUAUGCACAAAGUCACAAAGACUUGGCAACAAUCAUUACAGAGUAUUCCAAAGGAGAUCAACUCCUUGGAAAUAUCCUUCUUGCAUUAAGUUUCCUUAAUCUUACACAGAUUGAAAAUUCUAACUUUGAAACAUUUCCAGAUUCCAUUUUGACUAUCACUUCUGAACAAGAGUUGCCUCCUUACAGAUUAUGUCAAUAUGGUCCUUCCAGAAUUAUCACUAUACUUCCAAUUGUCCUUGAGUAACCAAUCUUUGGUAAACCUUAGAUUGUCCUCGACAAUUGUUUAAUCCUUUUAGUCAUAUCCAGUUCUAAACCUUUUCCCUUCUUAAUGCCCCAGGCAUUUGGAAAAUUUUAGAACGGAUGAAUAUAGCACAUGUAAUCGAUCCUAUAUCCGAAGCAUAUGGGACACGAUUCAUGAUGUCUUACAUAAAGACUAAACCAGUCUUUUGCUAUAAUAUUUCCAUUUCAAUUUGCCAAGUUCUCAUAAUUCAGAUUAUGAAAAGGGAUGCCGUAAUCAUAAUCGAAUUUUAGAACGCAAAUAAUGGACCCAUAUACAGAAUUUCCUUAUGUUGAGCCAUUCCAACAUGAAAUUCAUAUAUAUCCUUGACUAAAUGAUUAAAACCUCACGAUCUAAGCUUAUAGAUUUGAGAUGAAGCAUAAUUUCCUCUCCCUUAAUUAUAGCAAAACAACUUUUUCCCAAUUGAAACUUUUGUUUUCUAUAAUUAACAUUGCUAACUUGCAAUACUUAUCAUAAUUAUCAUGCUCCCACUAACAUGAUGAUUAUUAGCAUAACACUUAUGCUCCCACUAGCUUUGACAUGUACUCAGAAAUCAGCUGGACAGUCUGAAAUUUAGAUUCAUACACCCUUUCCGUAGAUAGCUCACCUGUGUGUCUAAGCAAUUUCAAGAACCAUGAAAAGGGAUACCGUAAUCAUGGUCUCAAUUGCUUAGGCAUUUGCCAUUUCUCACAAGUCCAUGUUAGUGUGCCGGUUAACCACACGCGCUCCACUAACGACUUUUGAAAAUGCAAAUAACACAAUUGAUAUCUUCGUAAAAUCUACUUAGUGAAAGCGUUUCCUCACCAUCAUUUUCAUGAAUCGGAGAGAAACCUUAUGACACUUAGAUUUAUAUGGUGUAUGAGUUCCUACCCAUAUGAAUUUGUCAAACCAUAAUCACAAGACAAAGAUAAUGACAAAUCCAAAACCAUAUGGAUUGAACUCAAUCUUAACUUCUUGCCACCUGGCAGCUCAAGGGCCUGCCAUUGCUUCCAAGUUGUUAUGCAACAAACUGAGAACUCUAAGAACUCAUAUGCAAAGCCAACUUUAACUGGAAUGGGCACAGAUAUGUCAACACGAUAGGUUAUAAACCUCAAGUCGUGUGCUAGUGAAGAACUUUAGGUUUUAUUCUUGAUUAUUUCUUGAGACUUUCAAGACCUUUAAGACUCCCACUGUCCUCUUGACAUAUAAGACUCCCUUGUCAAACAUCCAAGAGAUAGUGCGGAUUCUAAUCAAGAAAAACACUUUACCCAAUUGGCCUAAGUUGGUCUUUGUUUUAUCCAAAACAUCACAACUUACCAAUUUCAAAUGUACAAGAGUAGAAAACUUUUACUCUUACAUUUGACAAGUGUUUUAAACCUUCUUUAAGACAUGUCACUCAAAUGACAAUCUUGGAGUAUGACUCUAAGACUUGUAUUGGAACGAAGUAUGACUCAUCUUCUUGAUUUAACCAUUUCAACAAUUCAAGUUCCUCUUCUUAGUCAUAAGAAUGCACUAAGAUUUCCUUAGAGAACUAAUUUUGAUAUGGUUUCUUAAUCAUUAAGAUGAUCACAAAACUGAUACUAAAGUACUCUCCCAUCUUUUCAGAUUUGAGAAACUUUUAUCCUUCUGCCUUAUUUGAUUCUUCUUAUCGAUCUUUAGUGGUGGACUUAAUCAGUGCACAAGAAUGUGUACUCGAUCCCUAAGUCCUUUACUUGACUCACACAUCCAUGUGAACAAGUAAUUAGUCUUAAUUUUCCAAAACUUGAAAGUUCUCAUUCAUCAUGCUAUACAACUUGCAUGAUUCCAAGUUCCGGUCCAAUUGAAACUUGGGUGAUGAGAAUCUUUCCUUAUUUGGUAAAUUUAGACAUUACCACAAAUGAAAGAAUCAAUUUCAUAUUUCCACUCUUGCUCUUAAUGGAAUCAUAUAAGCAACAAUUUUUCCUCAAAUGCCAUUGUAAGGAUAUUUUAAAAUAAAUAAAAUCAAAAAAAUUUUCUUUUAUUUUAAAACUUUGCGGAAAAACUUAUCCUUACAAUCCAUAUGAAAACUUGUUGUUAUCUAUUCCUAAGCAAUAUCUCAUAACUCCUAAGAAGUAGCUCAAGAAUCCGAUCUUCAAACUAUGCGAUAGAAAUCCAUCUACGCCAUCAGAUUCAGCAUAUUCUUUCUUUAAGUUUCUUCACUUUUCUUUGAUUCUUAAAACAUCACCAUGUGACCCAGUCACAUCAUGUAUCAAGAAUCUCAGAAUAGAAACUUAACAGAGUUAGAUAGUGGACUUUACCUGAAGUAGAGUCAAACUUAUUGACUUUAACAUCCUUAGGUAAAUUUGGCAGCUUCGCAACCAAUGCCCCUUCCUUUGGCAAUAUAAACAUAUGGACCCUUUGAUAAUGGUACACGGGACUAUCACAGACUUAGCUUUUCUCUUUACCAUUUGGUCAACCGAGUUGACUAUGGCCGAUCCCUUUCCAUUGGGAAGAGAAUGCUUUACUGGAUAUCCAAUGUCAUCAUUGUCAAUGUCCAUAAAGUUUUAGGAAGUUGAUCUUAGCAAAUAGAUAAGAUCAUUAAGGGUCUUGUCAUAGUCUGUUUCAUAGGUGUCCCAAAGGAACUCACUAUGUGACUUAGAAAGUGAUUGAACCACCAACUUUCUCAAGACUUUGACACCCAACUCUCCCGGCUUGUCAAUAUGUGACUACAUCUCCAAGAUGUGACCACACCUAGACCUUGCCUUGCCAAUAGGGCCUGAGUGACCUUAAACUUUUCAAGAACUUGUGGGUUAGGGAGAAUAAUUUGAAGAGGUGAAGAAGUAUGAUAUCCAUGGGACAUCAUCUUCAUUAGGAAACCUUGUUUCAAGAGAUUUGGGAAGAUCAUAGGUGUCUAAACCAGACAUCUUUUGGGAGAUAUUCAAGAUAGUUGAUUUAAAGUCCUUAAUAUGACACCCAAUAUGAAAUAUUAAGGCUAGGACCCAACAAACUAUUUUAUAACUUAGAAGAGGUAUGCCGUAAUCCAAGCUAUAAAAUAUUUGAAGGUAGGUGAAUGACGAUUCACCAAUUUCCACCAAGAUAAACGAAAUGUAUUAUUAGGUUUUAAUUGGUUUUGAAACUCCUAGAUCUUUGAGAUUCAUUGAACUUUUCAAAGGCAUGUUUCAAUCUCGAGUGUGCCCUUCAGGUUUUGUGACUGGGAUGCCGAGGAUCACAAAACAAGGUGUGAAGUAACCAUGCAAAUCACUUGGUACCCUUAAUAAAUUACCCCUCAAUCGAUGUGCCGGUUAACCACACACGCUCCAUCGAUACUAUGAUAAAUAUUAAGUCACCCUUUACCUACCUUGUUAAGUCCAAGUUAGUGUGCCGGUUAACCACACACGCUCCACUAACGACUUAGACAAAGUGUAAAGUGUAAUUUCAUGGAUUAGCACCUUAUUCACAUUUUUCCUAAGUAACUAAGAUUGGGUAUUAUUAAGAGUUUAGUUACUUAGUAUUAUCAUUAAUACUUUUAAUGAAGGGAGAAUUCUAGUCCUGUCAAACCCGUUCGGCUAACGACCCUCCACCAGUCAAGCAAGCGGUGGGUGAGAGUGGACACCCAUUAAGUUGCCAUUUUAUAGGCAACAACCUUAUACCCACCUUAUAGACCGGCUUCGUGAAUGAGGCGUACUAGCGGUAAGACUGACUUUACUCUUAUACAUAUAUAUAUUAUUAACUUAUAAUAUUAUAAAGUAUAAGGGUUGAAUUUUAACUUUUAAAAUUCUAAGGGCUAACUUGGAAUUAAAGUAUUCAUACGUGAAAACUUUUCAAAUUCCAAAACUUGAGGGCAAGUUUUGAAACUAUUCAAAACUAAUUAAUUCCAUAACUUAUGUGUUUAAAGUAGUUUUAAUCCAAAAACUCUUCAAGUUCCAUAACUUGAGGACAAGUUAUGGAAGACUUUAAACUAAUAAAAGAACUAACUUUUUCUUUAUUUUAUAACUUAUGGAUUUAAUUAUGGUUACAUAUUUUUCUUUAAUGAAGUGACUCUUGAACUUCCAUAACUUGAGGACAAGUUAUGGAGUCAAAAAAAAUUAUUCAAUGACACAAGACUCUUCAUUUUGUAACCAUUGCCAACUUUUAUGAGUUUUAUGAGUCUUUAAUGUGACUCUUCAUGUAACUUGAGGACAAGUUACACAAACACAUUUUAUACUCAACUCUUAGAUUAAAAUGGAUUGAAAACAACUAUUUCACUCAACUUUUCUAUUAAUCUAAGCAACUCAUAAGAACAAGAUAAUUCAAAUCAAACUUUUUCAUGUAAUUAGUCUAAACCUUAAACUAAUACAAAACAUGAAUCUAUUGACAAUUAUCUUUGAAAAUGGAUUAGCAUGAACAUUACCACAUCAAAAACAAGUUUAUAAGUUCAAAAACAACUUAGGGUAAUGUUCCUAGUCCAUUUCUAGCCAAAAAACUCGAAAAUAUGCUGUCUGGGGGUCCAACUCGUCGAGUGCAUGAACCAACUCGGCGAGUUGGAUCGAAUUGAUCACAUUUUAGGCAUGGACUCGCCGAGUCCUCUGAUGGACUCGCCGAGUCUGAUGAUCAGACAGCACCAAAUUCGUUUUUUCAGCUUCUAUUGCAGGUAUAACAAGAAAACAAGCCUAGGCUCUGAUACCACUGUUGGGUUUUGAGCAUUCUAACACUCCUAAGUGUACAUGCAACCCUAAAUACCUUGGAUCUAUGUUUUCUCUAUUAUACAUGCAAAUAAGAACUUCCAAGGUAUUAUCCUAAUCUAGCAUACAAAACAAUGAGUGUAACAAGAUAGAAUACAUACCUCUUUGAUGUAGAAAGUCUUCAUGAAGCUUGAGUGCCUAGCCCCAAUAGUGUGGAAGCCUCAAAUGGAAUCACAAUCACCAAAACACUUAGAAUAACUUGAGAGAAUUCUACAACUCAUGAAAUCGGCUAGCCCUUUUACUUCACACUCUAGUGGCCGAUUUUGGUCAAGAAUAAGAUGCUUAUAUAGUUAGGGUUACACCAUGUAAACCCUAAUUGACAUGGCCUUUCAUUUCCAUGAUCCAUGGGUACAAAUACACCAUGGAGCAUCCAUGGAGCAUCCUAUGGGUUUUAGCCCAACUUGAUUAUCCAUGGAGCAUUAUCCCACUAUACAAGUAUGGAUGAUUUACACAAUCAACCCAUAUAUUUAAUUAGUCUUCUUUUGAUCACUUAAUUAAUCCUAGAUUAAUUCUUGAUCAAUACUAAUUAAAUAAUCUUAUUAUUCUUAUUAUUAAUAUACUAGAACUUAUAAUAUAUUAAUAACCAUAAGUGUCUUAUUUCUCUCAUUAUAGUCUAUCCAAGUGCAUGAUGGUAUGCAACCCAAAUGGACCAUGCCGGGUCGGGUCAAGUCUUACCAAUUAUAGUUAUGGACUUAGACAUUAAUCCAACAAUAUAUUGCGGCUAUUAGGGUUGCACCAUGUAACUAAUGUCAUUCCAUAUUCUUCCGAUGCCAAGAAACCCAAAUGGACCAUGCCAAAUCGGGUCGAAUACAUACCAAUAAUAAUUUGGGCUUAGACAUCUAAUCCAACAGUCUCCCACUUGGAUAAGUCUAAAACUAUUAUUACGUACGAUUCCAAAACCCGACUAGCAAUCAUAUCUCUUCAAGGUGUUGAUGAACUUUGAACAAAUCAAUGACGUUGUCCAUUAGAUAAGGGAUCAUAUAGUCCUCCAUUCUAGAUAUCAUAUGGAUUGAGACAUGGAUUAUAAUCAUUCUCUCUGUCCAUCUAUUGUUUCCUAAUUUCCAAUUUAUGAC
rnacentral:lncRNA from 1 species